ACGGGUGAGUAACGCGUGGGAAUCUACCGUGCCCUGCGGAAUAGCUCCGGGAAACUGGAAUUAAUACCGCAUACGCCCUACGGGGGAAAGAUUUAUCGGGGUAUGAUGAGCCCGCGUUGGAUUAGCUAGUUGGUGGGGUAAAGGCCUACCAAGGCGACGAUCCAUAGCUGGUCUGAGAGGAUGAUCAGCCACAUUGGGACUGAGACACGGCCCAAACUCCUACGGGAGGCAGCAGUGGGGAAUAUUGGACAAUGGGCGCAAGCCUGAUCCAGCCAUGCCGCGUGAGUGAUGAAGGCCUUAGGGUUGUAAAGCUCUUUCACCGGAGAAGAUAAUGACGGUAUCCGGAGAAGAAGCCCCGGCUAACUUCGUGCCAGCAGCCGCGGUAAUACGAAGGGGGCUAGCGUUGUUCGGAAUUACUGGGCGUAAAGCGCACGUAGGCGGAUAUUUAAGUCAGGGGUGAAAUCCCAGAGCUCAACUCUGGAACUGCCUUUGAUACUGGGUAUCUUGAGUAUGGAAGAGGUGAGUGGAAUUCCGAGUGUAGAGGUGAAAUUCGUAGA
rnacentral:rRNA from 1 species